GUCACCCGCGCCUGCGCAGUUUUACCUUCCUCCUCAGCGGGAGAUGAAGAGAUAAGACACUGGGGAGAACCGGUCAUAAGAUACCACCAGAUGGAAGACCCAUUUGUUUCAGAUGGAUUCCACGCAACGUUUAGAAGGUGCUGUGAGCUUUCACGCAGACCGAGGGCCCAGCGCGAGUGACAGAGAAGUUCAAGAUGAGCUCCGAUUUCUGCACAUUUGACUGUUAAUUAAAAUGGUCCCUUUUCUUUUUGUUUCUCUUUA